AAUUUUUUUGGAAAAAACUUCAUUCGAGUGGGUAAACGUUUUCUGAUUGAUCUAAAAUAUGACAUGCGUAUUUGUGGCACUGUGAUAGAAUAUUAAAAAACAUUUCCCGCAAAAAACUCAGUCCAAAAAGUCAAAAAAAUUAAAAAAUACGAAAUCCAAUAAAAAUUUAAAAAAUAUUCAGCGGGUUGAGUUUAGUGCCC
rnacentral:lncRNA from 1 species